AGCGAACGCUGGCGGCGUGCCUAACACAUGCAAGUCGAACGUGAAAGGGAGCAGUCCCAAGUAAAGUGGCGUCCGGGUGAGUAACACGUAGGUAAUCUACCCCAGAAUCUGGAUUAACCGGCCGAAAGGCUGGCAAAUACUGGAUAGAGCGACGGAAUCCGUAAUUGGGUUUUCCGGGAAAGGUAGCCUGUAAAACGACCUUCGUUCCGGGAUGAGCCUGCGUCCCAUCAGCUAGUUGGUGAGGUAAAAGCUUACCAAGGCAAUGACGGGUAGCUGGUCGGCGAGGACGGUCAGCCACACUGGAACUGAAACACGGUCCAGACUCCUUCGGGAGGCAGCAGUGGGGAAUCUUGCGCAAUGGACGAAAGUCUGACGCAGCAACGCCGCGUGAGGGAAGAAGGCCUUCGGGUUGUAAAGCUCUGUCGAGUGGGACGAAAAUGCUUGGAGUUAAUAGCUCCAGGAACUGACGGUACCACUAAAGGAAGCACCGGCUAACUCCGUG
rnacentral:rRNA from 1 species